rnacentral:misc_RNA from 1 species
UCCAUCUAAAUAAAGAUAUCUCAACGACUACAUAUCCCCCAAAAUUUCUGGAAAACUCUCAAAUUUGGAGCAUCCUGAGAGAUUAAGCCUGCGCAGAUUUUUCAAUUUACAAAUACUGCUUGGGAGAAUACAAAAUCUUGUGCAGUUUUGCAGGCCCAGUUCAAUAAGUUCAGAGCAAUUCUCAAUGGAUGAGGGAAUUUCUUCUAUCGCUGUCCCAUCUAAAAGCAACUUUUUUAUAUUGCUUGAAACUUCCGGAAACCUAGCAAUGCUUGUGCAGCCAGAAAGGAUUAGCUUUUCAAGAGAGGCCAACAUAGAAACAUCACAAGGAAGAUUCUUGAGACUUUUGCAAUUCGUAAGAUCCAAACAAGAGAGUCUGGAGAGAAGACAAAUUGAAGAGGGAAUUUCUUCAAUUGCAGUAUCACUUAAGUACAAGAAUCUCACAUUUCCUGAAAUAUCUGGAAUCCUGGUGAUAUCAGAGCAGCCAGAGAGAUCAAUAGUCACAAGGUUUUUCAACAAACAAAUGCUUUCUGAAAGAUACCUGAUUCGUUUACAAUCCUUCAAAUUCAAUGAUAUGAGAUAACCUAGAUGCCUAAUUGAUUUCGGAAGUUCUUCGAUUGCAGUCUCAUUUAAGUUUAGAUACAUUAUGUUCUUUGCUAUCUCUGGACACUGUCCAAGAUUUGAACAGCCAGAAAGGUUAAGACUCUUGAGGGAUCUCAAAUUAAUGGCAAUAGGAAAGCUCUUAAGCCUUGUGCAGCAUCUCGCACUCAAAUCAAUAAGCUUCUCUAAAAACUGAAUAGAUGAGUGAACUUCUACCAAGCUAAUGCAGUACUCAAAAAUCACUCUCUCAAGAUUCUUAGCCAGUGAGAGGUCUGGGAAUGUAGUUAAGUGCUCAGAAUAGCUAAGGUCAAUCUCUUUCAUACUCACAAGAUUCUGCACUCCUGUCCAUAGCUGUUUAACACUGCUGUAAGCCAGGUUAAGUUGAACAAGGUUCUCCGCUUGAAAAUUGGAUGGCAAAGAGCUCAAAGGAUAUCCAUCCCAAUGGAAAUACCUCAACUCAUCAGAAAGAAACUCAAGGCCAUAAGGCAGAUGCACUUUACACUUAUU